AGACGUCUACAUUAGAUACCCCCGUAGUCCCAGCCGUAAACUAUGCGCGUUAGGUGUAUCGGUGACCACGAGUCACCGAGGUGCCGAAGGAAACCGUGAAACGUGCCGCCUGGGAAGUACGGUCGCAAGGCUGAAACUUAAAGGAAUUGGCGGGGAGCACCACAACGGGUGGAGCCUGCGGUUUAAUUGGACUCAACGCCGGGAAGCUCACCGGAUAAGACAGCGGAAUGAUUGCCGGGCUGAAGACUCUGCAUGACUAGCUG
rnacentral:rRNA from 1 species